CCUACGGGGAGCAGCAGUGGGGAAUAUUGCACAAUGGGGGAAACCCUGAUGCAGCGACGCCGCGUGAGUGAAGAAGUAUUUCGGUAUGUAAAGCUCUAUCAGCAGGGACGAAGAAAGACGGUACCUGACUAAGAAGCCCAGGCGAACUACGUGCCAGCAGCCGCGGUAAUACGUAGGGGGCAAGCGUUAUCCGGAUUUACUGGGUGUAAAGGGAGCGUAGACGGCUGUGAAAGUCUGAAGUGAAAGCCACGGGCUCAACCCUGGGACUGCUUUGGAAACUGUGGAGCUUGCGUGCUGGAGAGGUAAGUGGAAUUCCUAGUGUAGCGGUGAAAUGCGUAGAUAUUAGGAGGAACACCAGUGGCGCAGGCGGCUUACUGGACAGUAACUGACGUUGAGGCUCGAACGCGUGGGGAGCAAACAGGAUUAGAUACCCGUGUAGUC
rnacentral:rRNA from 1 species